rnacentral:tRNA from 1 species
GAACUUUUAGUUUAUUUUGAAUUUUUCGUUUACAACGAGAGGGUUUUUAAAGUUCU